UAGUGAUUUUCUGGUUGAUCCCGCCGGAGGCCACUGCUAUCGGAGUUCGAUUAAGCCAUGCGAGUCGAGAGGUGCAAGACCUCGGCAUACUGCUCAGUAACACGUGGACAACCUACCCUAUGGAGGGGGAUAACCCCGGGAAACUGGGGAUAAUACCCCAUAGACUAUAGAUGCUGGAAUGCUUUGUAGUUGAAAGGUCAGCCGCCAUAGGAUGGGUCUGCGGCCGAUUAGGUUGUUGUUGGGGUAACGGCCCAACAAGCCUGUAAUCGGUACGGGUUGUGGGAGCAAGAGCCCGGAGAUGGAUUCUGAGACACGAAUCCAGGCCCUACGGGGCGCAGCAGGCGCGAAAACUUUACAAUGCGGGAAACCGUGAUAAGGGAACUCCGAGUGCCCGUAAAAUCGGGCUGUCCAUCUGUUUAAAUAACAGGUGAAGAAAGGGCCGGGCAAGACCGGUGCCAGCCGCCGCGGUAAUACCGGCGGCUCGAGUGGUGGCCACUAUUACUGGGCUUAAAGCGUUCGUAGCUGGUCUGUUAAGUCUCUGGGGAAAUCUACUGGCUUAACCAAUAGGCGUCUCAGGGAUACUGGCAGACUAGGGACCGGGAGAGGUGAGAGGUACUCCAGGGGUAGGAGUGAAAUCCUGUAAUCCUUGGGGGACCACCUGUGGCGAAGGCGUCUCACCAGAACGGCUCCGACAGUGAGGGACGAAAGCUGGGGGAGCAAACCGGAUUAGAUACCCGGGUAGUCCCAGCCGUAAACGAUGCGCGUUAGGUGUAUCGGUGACCACGAGUCCCCGAGGUGCCAAAAAAAAAUCGUGAAACNUGCCGCCUGGGAA
rnacentral:rRNA from 1 species